UUAAAGUGUGACUCGUUACUGACGUCGGCCGAUUUGCGAGAUAGUUUGGGGCGCGUUAUUUUAGCUACGCCUGGCGGGCCCCGGCGCCGGCCGCCCGGAAUGCGGCCUCCGCCCCGCCGCGCGUUGCCGGCGCCGAGAGCACCGCGCGUAGCGUAAUAAAUAAAGGCGGGGCACCGCUGCGUGCGCGCGCACCCUCCCGCGCCCUCCUCGCCCUCGGGUCAUUGACUCGGGCUCGGCCACCGCCGCUACAACCGUAGCAGUCGACGCUGCUGAAGACAACAAUUCUAAAAAGCGGGUAACAUCCGCACAUAUGCCAGUUACUGUGAGGGAUAUGGUAGAAAACGGAAAUGAAGAAACUGUCAGAUGGAAAAUGCGCGAGCGGAUACACGCAUCAUUUAUAAUGAAGGUAAAUAAUACCGCAAGGAAGGACAAGUGAACUAAUUAGGCGUUGUAAUUAACUGCGGACCUGAUUGGUUUUGUAAAAUAACAUCAGGCUUGAUCCAUCCCUCGUCCGAUGUAACCGACUUAUGAAAAUUAAAGAGAACAAAGAAAAUAAAUAUUUUUUCCAGCAUCCUGUACGGCGUGAGGCGCUGCCAUUUACCAUCGUCGCAAAUGGCGUCAUCUUGAUCCAUCAAUGCUAGCCAGAAGAUAAUUGAUAAUCAGAUUCCAAAUUAAAGCACAGAACGAGACUGCCAAUUUGAUCAGAGGAGAAUUUAA